rnacentral:rRNA from 1 species
UACGUAGGGGGCGAGCGUUGUCCGGAGUGACUGGGCGUAAAGGGCUUGUAGGCGGUGAUGCGCGUCAACCGGGCCAGCUGGCAGCUUCCCUGCCGGAGAGCGGUUGAAACGGCAUGACUUGAGGGCGAGAGAGGGACAUGGAACUCCGGGUGGAGUGGUGAAAUGCGUAGAGAUCCGGAAGAACACCAAAGGCGAAGGCAGUGUCCUGGCUCGUUCCUGACGCUGAGGAGCGAGAGCUAGGGGAGCGAACAGG